UACGGGGGGGGCAAGCGUUGUUCGGAAUUACUGGGCGUAAAGGGCUCGUAGGUGGCCAACUAAGUCGGACGUGAAAUCCCCAGGCUCAACUCGGGAACUGCGUCCGAUACUGGCGGGCUUGAAUCCGGGAGAGGGAUGCGGAAUUCCAGGUGUAGCGGUGGAAAUGCGUAGAUAUCUGGAGGAACACCGGUGGCGAAGGCGGCAUCC
rnacentral:rRNA from 1 species